rnacentral:lncRNA from 1 species
UAGGUUGAGAUAAGAGGAAUUUAAUGAUUAAAAUAAAGUAUAACAACAACCAAAUAAUAAUAAUUAUUAUUAUAACAACAACAAUAAUAAUAAUAAACAUGGGAACUGACAAGUCUUUGAUUUAGAACAAGCACUACUUAGUAACAACUAAAACAUCAGUUUAUUAUUAUUUCACUGAAUCAAAAAACCCAGUAUUUAGUUCCAGCUAUUAAGAAUCAAAUUAACUCUAUCCGAGCUGAAACCAGGACAGUAUCCACCCCUUAUUCCAUUUAUGUCAUGCCAGGUCCCACACUUCCCAAUGCACCAUCACCUUUCUUGUCCUUUGAUACCUACACAUAGACAUCACUCUCUUAGUCUAUGGACCAGCCCUAUAAAAGUCCAUUGAGUUAAUUUAGUCCAUGACCUCAGGCUCCAUCUGGCAUAACCAUCUUUCAGGGCAGGAAUAAUGGCAUGUGGUGUUGUAUUGCUGCAUGUGGAACCCAGGUCUGAUUCUAUCAUCACUGUGCUUGUCCAGUUUCAUCAAAGUUCAUUCUUCAUUAAUAUGUCAAUUGAAAGGGAGUCGGGUUCAGAUUCCCCAAAUCUGGAGUGGCAGACACGGGUGCUGCAGUGCCCUCAGUACAUUGAUGGGCUUACAGCUGCUAUAUGAGUGAUAAUAUAUUGUUUUAUAUAUCAAUUAACAUCAUACAGUUUAAUUCAUUGGCUGGUCUCACUCAAAAUCAAAUCCCCUGAAGGACUGACAACAGCAAUUGGUAGAACAGGAUGGACCAAGAGAAUCAGUGGUACCUGGGCAGGAAGAGAUAAACCCGUUACCCAGGCAGAAGAGUACGAGAGGAAAGGGAUGGAAUGGGGUUAGUGGAGGUGCAGAAAGGGCUGGAAAGCAUUUGUAGGCUUUCAGCAAGUCUCUCAACACUUUUCCACUCUACUGUAAUUAAUUUUGCUGCUAGUCUGGGCUGGCUUGUGUGUGUUGAAUGUAAAUGAGACCAGUGAGUUGCUAAGUUCUUUAUGAAAUGCAAAAACAAAUGUGUGGUUGAUUGCAAAUAACUACUCUGGCUUGUGUUUAUGGAACUGAUGCUGUUGUGCACAGUCAGACAUGAGGAUAUUGAUCCUGCCAACACUUACAACCAUUAGUAUCUUGAUGUAUGCUUUUAACUUCCUUUGAGCAUAUAUACCUAUGUUUUUGAGGUCUCAGGGCUUACACCUGGCUGUGAAUUCUACAAAGAACCCAUGAAAAAAAAAUCCCAAUCAACAUUAAUUUGCUAACCACACUCCAAAACAGAGCAGGAUCUUGAGAAAAAGUGCUGUAAUGAGACCCUAACAUUAUUUUUUGUUUGUUUAAAGGUACCUUGUGUUUCACAGGCAGUUAUUUGUUUGCUUUUCUGUUACUAAUUUGGUUUAACCCACUAUCUGAGGACUUAAGGGCAAAAAGUCCCCACCCAGCAAAGAAAGUCUUACAAGACUGAAAAAAGGAAGACCUAUUUUGCAACCAGGGUGGUUUCCCCCUGGGACAUGCAUGAUGAUGAACAGGCAGAGUAGCACUUUGACUGUACGUUAAAACUUAGGAAAGCUUGGAUUUCAUUUCCCCAUGUGCACACAUUGCAAGUAUGUACCAGGGAAGGCAGGAGGACUAGGUGAGGCCCAGUGCAUAUUGAGGUCUCACUUGAACAGAUUAUCUGAAUAUGGCCAGGUACCAUGCCUCUUCCAAAGCCCCCUUGCAGUUUACAAAAUCAAGAUGGUGCCAAUGGAAACGAGAGCUGCCCAGCACCCUGGAAGGUCAGGGUCUUUAACUGUAAGACUAUACUGAACUGGAGAUCAAGGAUAUUGAUGAAUUAAUUAACUGUUGGUUUUUUUGGUUUUUGUGGUGUUUUUUUUUUUCAGGUGACUACAUGUGGGAAAACCAGAAAAUUUUAUACAAUAAGGAAAGGAAAACACACUAAGCCAUAAGUGAGACCAACUUUUUGCUUCAGUCACUUUGAAUUGAACUCCUAAUUGCUUUCAUUAGUUGAAACUCUUAUUUUAGUAAUCCAACAACUGGCUUUUCUUGCCAUCAGCAGAGCAUUUUUCAUUUGAAUAGGGAAUUUGUG